rnacentral:rRNA from 1 species
UACGUAGGGCGCAAGCGUUGUCCGGAAUUAUUGGGCGUAAAGAGCUCGUAGGUGGCGUGUCGCGUCUGCCGUGAAAGCCCCUGGCUUAACUGUGGGUCUGCGGUGGAUACGGGCAGGCUGGAGGCUGGUAGGGGCAAGCGGAAUUCCUGGUGUAGCGGUGAAAUGCGCAGAUAUCAGGAGGAACACCGGUGGCGAAGGCGGCUUGCUGGGCCAGUUCUGACGCUGAGGAGCGAAAGCGUGGGGAGCGAACAGG